AUUGAACGCUGGCGGCAGGCCUAACACAUGCAAGUCGAGCGGAUGAGUGGAGCUUGCUCCAUGAUUCAGCGGCGGACGGGUGAGUAAUGCCUAGGAAUCUGCCUGGUAGUGGGGGACAACGUUUCGAAAGGAACGCUAAUACCGCAUACGUCCUACGGGAGCAAGCAGGGGCCCUUCGGGCCUUGCGCUAUGAGAUGAGCCUAGGUCGGAUUAGCUAGUAGGUGAGGUAAUGGCUCACCUAGGCGACGAUCCGUAACUGGUCUGAGAGGAUGAUCAGUCACACUGGAACUGAGACACGGUCCAGACUCCUACGGGAGGCAGCAGUGGGGAAUAUUGGACAAUGGGCGAAAGCCUGAUCCAGCCAUGCCGCGUGUGUGAAGAAGGUCUUCGGAUUGUAAAGCACUUUAAGUUGGGAGGAAGGGCAGUAAGUUAAUACCUUGCUGUUUUGACGUUACCAACAGAAUAAGCACCGGCUAACUUCGUGCCAGCCGCCGCAGUAA
rnacentral:rRNA from 1 species